GUGGGGAAUAUUGGACAAUGGGCGAAAGCCUGAUCCAGCCAUGCCGCGUGUGUGAAGAAGGUCUUCGGAUUGUAAAGCACUUUAAGUUGGGAGGAAGGGCAGUAAGUUAAUACCUUGCUGUUUUGACGUUACCGACAGAAUAAGCACCGGCUAACUUCGUGCCAGCAGCCGCGGUAAUACGAAGGGUGCAAGCGUUAAUCGGAAUUACUGGGCGUAAAGCGCGCGUAGGUGGUUUUGUAAGUUGGAGGUGAAAUCACCAGGCUCAACCUGGGAACUGCCUCCAAAACUGAAUGACUAGAGUACGGUAGAGGGUAGUGGAAUUUCCUGUGUAGCGGUGAAAUGCGUAGAUAUAGGAAGGAACACCAGUGGCGAAGGCGACUACCUGGACUGAUACUGACACUGAGGUGCGAAAGCGUGGGGAGCAAACAGGAUUAGAAACCCCAGUAGUCC
rnacentral:rRNA from 1 species